rnacentral:rRNA from 1 species
GACGAACGCUGGCGGCGCGCUUAACACAUGCAAGUCGAACGGAAAGGCCCUGCUUUUGUGGGGUGCUCGAGUGGCGAACGGGUGAGUAACACGUGAGUAACCUGCCCUUGACUUUGGGAUAACUUCAGGAAACUGGGGCUAAUACCGGAUAGGAGCUCCUGCUGCAUGGUGGGGGUUGGAAAGUUUCGGCGGUUGGGGAUGGACUCGCGGCUCAUCAGCUUGUUGGUGGGGUAGUGGCUUACCAAGGCUUUGACGGGUAGCCGGCCUGAGAGGGUGACCGGCCACAUUGGGACUGAGAUACGGCCCAGACUCCUACGGGAGGCAGCAGUGGGGAAUAUUGCACAAUGGGCGGAAGCCUGAUGCAGCAACGCCGCGUGCGGGAUGACGGCCUUCGGGUUGUAAACCGCUUUCGCCUGUGACGAAGCGUGAGUGACGGUAAUGGGUAAAGAAGCACCGGCUAACUACGUG